GGCUCACACCGGUUUAAACUCAGAUCAUGUAAAAUUCUAAAGGUCGAACAGACCCAAUUAUAAAGSUUCUACACCUAUAAUUUAUUUUAAUCCAACAUCGAGGUCGCAAUCUCUUUUUUCGAUAAGAACUYUAAAAAAAAUUACGCUGUUAUCCCUAAGGUAGUUAAUYUUAUAAUYUAAAUCUUAGGAUCAAUAACUCACAAAUAAAUGUAACCCAAAAAAAAAGUUCAUCCAAUUUUUCCAUCACCCCAACAAAAUACUCAAAACUAAAAAAAAAUUCCUAAUCCUAAAUUCUCUCCACCUCAAUUUUAAAUAUAAAACUCUAUAGGGUCUUCUCGUCUUCUAUAAAUAUCUAGGCUUUUUAACCUAAAAAUAAAAUUCUAAUAAACUUAAAAAGAAACAGAAAUCUCCUCAUCAAACCUUUCAUUCAAGCUUUCAAUUAAAAAACUAGUGAUUAUGCUUCCUUUGCACGGUCAAAAUACCGCGGCCAUUCAAAUCCUCAUCGGGCAGGCCAAACCUAUAAU
rnacentral:rRNA from 1 species